rnacentral:rRNA from 1 species
UACGAAGGGGGCUAGCGUUGCUCGGAAUGACUGGGCGUAAAGGGCGCGUAGGCGGACGGCUUUGUCGGGCGUGAAAUUCCAGGGCUUAACCUUGGGGCUGCGUUCGAGACGGGUUGUCUAGAGUUUGGAAGAGGGUCGUGGAAUUCCCAGUGUAGAGGUGAAAUUCGUAGAUAUUGGGAAGAACACCGGUGGCGAAGGCGGCGACCUGGCUCGUUUCUGACGCUCAGGCGCGACAGCGUGGGGAUCAAACAGG